UACGCAGGGUGCGAGCGUUGUCCGGAAUUAUUGGGCGUAAAGAGCUCGUAGGCGGUCUGUCGCGUCGGUCGUGAAAACUUGGGGCUUAACCCUGAGCUUGCGGUCGAUACGGGCAUGACUGGAGUUCGGUAGGGGAGACUGGAAUUCCUGGUGUAGCGGUGAAAUGCGCAGAUAUCAGGAGGAACACCGGUGGCGAAGGCGGGUCUCUGGGCCGAUACUGACGCUGAGGAGCGAAAGCGUGGGGAGCGAACAGG
rnacentral:rRNA from 1 species